rnacentral:rRNA from 1 species
GACGAACGCUGGCGGCGUGCUUAACACAUGCAAGUCGAACGGAAAGGCCCUGCUUUUGUGGGGUGCUCGAGUGGCGAACGGGUGAGUAACACGUGAGUAACCUGCCCUUGACUUUGGGAUAACUUCAGGAAACUGGGGCUAAUACCGGAUAGGAGCUCCUGCUGCAUGGUGGGGGUUGGAAAGUUUUGGCGGUUGGGGAUGGACUCGCGGCUUAUCAGCUUGUUGGUGGGGUAGUGGCUUACCAAGGCUUUGACGGGUAGCCGGCCUGAGAGGGUGACCGGCCACAUUGGGACUGAGAUAAGGCCCAGAAUCCUACGGGAGGCAGCAGUGGGGAAUAUUGCACAAUGGGCGGAAGCCUGAUGCAGCAACGCCGCGUGCGGGAUGACGGCCUUCGGGUUGUAAACCGCUUUCGCCUGUGACGAAGCGUGAGUGACGGUAAUGGGUAAAGAAGCACCGGCUAACUACGUG